UCGGCGGAGGUCUUGACGUGGUCCUCGGCGCCGGUGAUCUCGAAGUUGUCCCCGAACGACGGGGCCGCCACCGCGUAGGCGCCCUGCAAGCAGCAAGAAACGGCAAUGGCGGCGCACGCCAGGAGAGCGCCGACGCACGGGCGGCGCUUCCACGAGCCCAUCGUCGACAAACCCAGAGAGAAAAAAAGGAUUGUGUCGAUGAGAAGAGGAGAAGGGGCAACGGCAAUGGCGACGGCAAAGCCACACACAAACGGGCAGAGGAGCGGAGCGGACGAGUGUGUGCUUAGCUUUGGUCUCGGGCAAAGCACAAAACAAGACGGACCACCGCGUAACAGCUUUUAUAAACUAGAGAGCGCUUUGACAGGAGUUGUUUAAGCAGCUGCCGUUCUAAAGUGACGCCGGUGCCUCAACAAGCGUGUAGCCGAGCUGGACUGGAAGAGAAGACAGGAUUGUUGCCCUCUGGUUGCGUCCGUAGGGUGAAAUCGCACCGUUGCGCGCGGCUCACUCACCUUUCUCGAGAGCCUCUACUACACUCCUCUUUGACUUUAUUUUAUCUUAUCACCGGCGGCUUUUUUUCAUUUCAAACAGGAUGCUAAGGCGUAUACAUACACUACUGCUGCGGCGUUAAGGCGCAUACAUACAGAUACAGGGCACUCGCUGCCACGCACGGGCUUGAGAUCUGGUUUCUGGCAUCUUUUCGAGAGAGAUGAUGGCCUCCUCUGGUAUCGUCAGUGUAUCCGUCUGCUGCUCGUGGCUGUCACAUGCAUGAGCUUAUCAUGCUCGUUCCGGGAGAGUGGAUUGAUUGUCAUCUGACUAGGAGACCUUGACCCAAGGCAAGGCAGCGUGACUGCCGAGAGCGAAACAGAGUAAAGGCAGGGCACCAGCCAACCAACCUACUCUGUUCUCUACUCUGCAUUUCCCGCUAGGCUUGCCAAAGGUUGUUUGCUCUGUUUCCGAGCGACGAUGGGGCCAUGAAAACCGGACAAGAGAUUUGCACUAGUAGUCCAGGAGGUUUAAAUGCUAGGCCAGUAUGUGUGUGUGUGUGUGUGGCUCGUGGAUGUCAAGGUAAUCAGACGACCGACAGGAUUACAGUGUAGAAAGCAGAGUUGCCGUCUGAUCCAUCGAUGUUUUGAUCCCAAGCAUGUGUGGCUCGUGUAGCACUGAAACCUACUUCUCGUGGAGGUACGAACACUGUCGUUGAAUAGUCGUAUAAAGGUUGAGCACGAAUCUUAUUGAGAUGUGACGAGCGGCGUCAAGCAAUAGAAAACAGGGUCUUGUAGGGCAUGUCGUGAGAGACGGGGUCUUGUAGGGCAGUAGUACUACUAGCUGCGCUAGCUUGGCCGCGUCCAAAACAAACGGGAAGAGGGGCUAGCUAAACCCCGGGUUUCCAGGUUCCUGUCCAUGAUAAGAGUCCGCGAAUAUUGGCUGAUGCUGGCGUUAAUUGUAAGCCAGAACCGCUCCUGGUCGUAGUAGCUGGCAUUUAGCGUUAACAUCUGACACGGGUUUGUGAUCGUGCGCUUGCAGAGAAACGCUGCGGGCCUAUGCAACGGAAAACACUCCUGUGGUGUGUGGAUGCACUCCUGGAAUAAUUUUUUAGCUAGGAAGAGCUGCAUGACUCAAUGAUUAGUCCAUGGAAUAAUUUGACUAGAAGUGUGCAUUGGAUCUGGUCGGUACAGGUUUACUCUUUGUCAUCAGAAGUGAAACGGUGACUUAUCUCAAACCGUGAUCUGAUGAAAAAAAUAAUGAUUUAUGCUCCUUGAAAGUACUAAUCCUGAGUACAAAUCAGGCAUAUUAAAUUCAAGCCAAAUGCUUUAUGAGUUUAGCUCGUGAAAAGGCAACCAGGCAUACGAGCAUAGCUCACACGGUCACACCAGGGUUUUUUUUUCCGGUUUUGCCAUUGAUAAGUUGCCCUUUUUAGUUAGAGAUCAUAUGUUAGUCAUCGGAUCUGAAUACAAUGAUAGUAAAUGAGAGAACGUGGAUGAUCCUCAGAUCAACCCCUAAGACAUAUUUGCAUUCGGUCCCUUCUCCUUUUCUCUUCUUGCACAAAUUGGUCCCUCUUCUCUUCACAUGAGCCAUUGUUUCUUGUUUCCUUUACGCUCAGGUCCUCCAGAAUAUUUCUUCAUCUGCAGCUUAUCCAAAUUAGAAGAAUUUGUGCCUUAAUGCACUGUUCUGCAAGACAUAUUAAUCAUGGUAUUAAUUUGCUCAUUUGGUCGAAUAUUCUACAUAUAGCAUUCGGUUUUGAGGCAAAAUCAACUCUAAAUGAUGCUAAAUGUCAAUUAAGUGAGACAAAAUUGAUGCAAACGUGACCCUGAUCAACCAUAGCCAUCCGAUUAAGAUUUUCCUAUCAUUUGUGCUUGUACGAAUCUUGCACGAGUCUCAGUGAUUGGAUUGGAUGAUUGUUAGCAUCGACUUAGAAAUAAUAAUUUUCUCGUCACCUUAGAAAUAGCAAAAUCUUUUUUAAGGGUGUGGCUAUAAUCUAAGUUGCCUGAUUUUAAGCACAACUCUUAAAUCUAAGUUGACAAAUCAGAAUCAUUGGAUUAGUAUCUAGAUCUCAUUUUACUCUUCGUUUUUCAUCACCUGUCUUGAUUCUUAAAGCACAAAUCAUAUUCAACAGUUGAGGAAUCAACUUAUAUCUAUCUAAAUCAAACAACCUAGAUAUAGUAAAACCGUUUUUUAUAUCUCAUUCAACUUCCUCAAAUAUAAUUAGAACAGCACUUUACUAAAUUCAAGCCAAAUGCUUUACCUUUGUUUCUAGCUUAAGCAGUUGUAAUCUAUUGCACAGCUGUUAGAUGAGAUGCUUUUUUUCUGUGGGGGAGAAUUAAAGAGAUGCUUUAGCUCAGUAGUAGUAUUUAUUUCCUGAAUGAUUAAUGGGAUACUUUGGCUGUCUUUAGGUCUUUAAACGACAAUGUUGAUAAGGUAGAUCGAAGGAAUAAAGGAUGAUUUCCUUUACUGCUGCGUUCUGUGAAACGUUUGCCCAGGAAAGAUCAAGAGAGACGAGAUGGAUCCCUAAAAAAAAGGAGAGACGAGAUGGAAAAGUUUCAGCGGGACAAAGAAACGAGAAGGUUCCUUGAGAACGUGUGAAACAAAGCUUACACAUUGCCACACGGGCUCAGAGUCAAUCUAUUUUGGGCUAACUUGUUUCUAAAGAGGAGCCCGUUUGUAAGUACGUUCGUUUCUCAUUCGAGGUUUCCCGUUCCAUUUUCGGCCUACCGGGCGACCGUAUACGAGCCCAGGACGUUACAGGCCGAACUUCGUCUCAUAUAUUUAUCACGGGCCCUCUUCUGGAUUGGUCUUCCGUCGGUACAUCUACUUUUGUACCGUAGUGGCCGGAGAUUUUCGGUUUCCCUCGCCUCCGGCCGCCCCAUUGGCGCUGCGAGGUGGGGGAAUUUCGGUUUCUUCUAAGAUUAUUUAGAAGUUUUGCUUAUAUCGAUUGUUUGGUUUUGAUCGGCAACGACAUGGCGGAAGGUGCGAUGCGGAAUAAAGGUACCAUGUUUCUUACUCUGUUGUGGUGGUGUCUCAACGGACGUUGCUGUGGAACAAGAGAUUUUUAAUCCCCAUGGAUUUAGUGUAUCCGAUCUUGUGGAUCUUGGGUUUGUGUACUCGCAGAUCCGUUUACAUGUAUCUGUUGAGUUUUUGUUAGUGUGUCAUGGUGCUUUUGUUGGUUUAUGUUUUGUAAUUUUGGAAUACUUUUCAACGCUCAUGGCUUCUCGUCUUUUUGGAUUAGCGACUCAAGGGGCUUUUCGAAACCUUUGAAGGUAGUCAAGUUCGUGCAAGGAUAAUAGUAAUGAUGUGGCUGCUACAGUUCGAUUGCAGUCUUUAUGUUGAAGCCUCAGUAGAAUUUCAUGUUGUAAAAUAUGAGAUCACAGAGAAGAUUUCUUUAAGAAAUUUCAGUUCUUAAUUAUAAAAGUUACCUUAGAGUUUCUAGAGUCUAUGAUCCAAAGCAUUGUACUUGUAAUGAUUCUCUUGUUUGAAUAAAGUUACGGGUUAUUCUAAAAGAAAUCUAUCUUUUGUACCGUGCUUUUAAUAGGGAUGGCACCCGCAACGUAUGGGUACGGGUUGAACCUUCUCAUACCCUUACUCGUCCUCUUUGAGCUUACCCGUUACCCGUACCCAUACCCGACAACGGGUAUAACUUUUUCCCAUACCCGUCACCCGUCUACCCCCGCGGGUAAAAAUACCCUUAAUAAAAUUUGAUCAAUAAGAACAUGUUCCUUAGAAACAUCAUCAUAUUUCUCAAAACCACAACAAUUUUGUGAUCAACAAUACUAUAUCAACACACUAUAAAUAACAAAAACACAUAAAAAGAUAAUAUAUCUUUAAAACGGUAAAUGGCACAUCGCACAUGUAUGACAGUUUAUUAUACGGGUGAACGGGUACAAGGGUAUGGGUUAUGCAUUCCCAUACCCGUACCCGUUCUACCCGAUGGGAAUGAAGUAUUUCCCAUUUGCGUACCCACGUGUUAAAAUUCUGUCCCAAACCCGUACCCUAAUGGGGAUUUACUUGCCGGAUACGCGGGUAAUGGGUACCCAUUGCCAUCCCUGACUUUUAAUAGCUGGCAGUGGCUCUGGCCGGCGGUGGAGAGGAGGUUACAUUUUCUUUUCGAAAUGGAGGAGUUUAUAUGGAAUAAAAGUGUUUAGGGUUCAUCUCUGUUGUAGUGUAGCCUUUCUCUACUGCGUGGAGUCAAUGUUUCUUCCCUUUUUUGCACAAAGAAAAUAAUUCUUAAAGUUCACGCCUUCAUUUUUUGGGUCUCGUUUCUGAUCAGUUCGGUAAUCAAAUAGCGGUUGGGCAACCUGUCUGGUAAAAAUGUGACCCUGCCUACUGUGGGUCCAUCUAUCUUAUAUUAUUUAUGGUUUGUGACCCAUGGCUCAUGCAACUCUCGAAAAUUAGGAGAGUAGUGCAGUUCGUGUCUGUAGUUUCGAAAUUAACAGUAUCUUCCAGCUCGAGCAGAACAAGGGACUACUGCUGUAUCGUUGGUGAGGUUAAUUUACGCUCUUACAUCUCUUAAUAUUAAUAUUGUAUUUCCUCCGUUCCAAAUUAAUCGGCGUCAUUUUUUUUCUUCAAAAAAUCCCCUGUAAAUUUCCGAAAUAAACUUGCAGAAUUUUUGCGAAAAACCUCCUGUAAAUUUUCGAAAUUAACGCGCAGUCCACGUUUAAAUGAAGAUGUGGACUGCAGGUUUAUUUUGAAAAUUUAUAGGGAUUUCUUUGCAAAAAGGCCGGCGACAAUUAAUUAGUCACAGAGGGAGUAGAAGGAAUUUUGGGACACUCGUCCUGAACUAUGUUUCUACGUGGAUGAUCAAACUCAAGACAUUGCGCAAUUAUCCAAGAGGAAAAAUGACAUUCUUGUAGCUGACUUCACGCAGAAGAAGGUGCAUGCUGCUAUUUUUCAAACUAAACAUAUCUUGGCUCCAAUACCAGACGGGUUAUAAAACACGAUCCGAUAGAAAUGUUUGUUCAGCCUCGACAAGCGAGCUGCCUUUGUUUAAGUCGAAUUUUAGAGUCAUCGCCCUUAUCCCUAAAAAAAGUACGGUUCGGAUACAACAAUAUAAACCCAUUUGUCUACUUAAUGCUAGUCUUGAAAUCUUCAUGAAGAUAGGUAUUAAUCGUCAGGGGCGGGCACCGGAUUUUAAGACAUGGUAUUCAAAACUCCAAAGUUUACAAAAUUUAUUGUUUAGAUAGCCUAAAGCCUUGGUUUCUGAAUGGGAACAAAUGGUAUUCCGAUAGGUUCACUUCAUAAUUGAGCGAUUGGGCCGGCAGAGGAGCAACCAGGAAGUGGGUUUAGCUGUUUUCUGAAUUGAAUUCGUUGACUACCAUGACAUUGUUACUUCUCUUCAUAUAUUGUUUUACAUAUACAUACUCGAUAAAAUAUAUACUUGGUUUUUUUACAAGAAUAAUUGUGAUCGUUCAUCAUGUGAUCCGACUUACCCAAACGGCUUUCAUGCCUGAACGGCAUAUCUUAGAAAGGGUAGUUGUCCUUCAUCUCCAUAGAAUUCACGGGGAGCAAAAAUUGAACACGGUUUUUCAGAUAUUAUAUUGUUUGUUCACUUGAACCACCAAAUAUCAAAAUUGAGAUUGUUGGUUAAUACUACCACAUCUCUUUCAGUUUACUAGGCCUAUCUUCAAAAUCACCGUUUUUUUUCAGAUAACUUAGAGGGGAUACCAUGAACCACCAAAUAUCAAAAUUGCUUAGGCCUUGUUCGUUUGCAGAAAUUCCUGCAGGGAUUGAGAGGGAAUCUGGGGAAAUUGAACUGAAUUUCCACUUUUCCCAGGGCAGAAACGAACUGGCCCUUAGUUGAAAUUCAGGGGGAAAAAAUAGAACACAGGUUUUUCAGAUAUUGUUCAAAAAGCCUUAUAAACUGGAAGGGAGGAGCAACAAUUAGUCUCCGCAAGAAAUAGCCCAAACAUUCAGAGUAGUAACGGAGUAAAUAAGCGCACCAGCACCAUGAAACAACUAAAUAACCUUUUUAUUCGCUCCUCUAGUCCCAGAAGGAUCCAUGGAGUUUCACGAGGCCGAUCACACGGCGGCAGCGCUAUGAACAAGACGCUAACAUCACGAAGCUAGAGACAAACAGGGGAGUUAAAACAAGUCGACAAAGCACACAGAAAGUCCUCGUCUCGAAGCCUCCUCUGUUUCAUUCAACCAUCUUAUUGAUUGUCACCCACCCCCUAAAGGGCGUCGCCUCAGGCCGUUUGUUCAGGCGUCCACGACGUCGCCGUUGUUCGCCGAGGCCAGCACCAUCUCCGGGUGCAGCGCCGGGGUCGCGUUCUUGAGCGUCCCGUCGAUGCCGUUCGGCCGGCCGAGCGCCUUCAGAGCCAGGUGCGCCGCCUUCUGGCCGGAGAUCAUCAUCGCGCCGAACGUCGGGCCCUGCAACCAAAACAAAUCCUCAGUCCAAGAACUGAACCGGAUUCCAUUGAUCUGUACUCCGUAUUUUUUAUUUCUAUUUUUGCGAAAACUUUAGUAAUCAUUUCUCACCAUUCUCGGGGCGCCGUCGAUCUCGGCGACCUCCAUGCCGGUGACGAUCAUGCCGGGGACGACCUCGCGGGUGAGGCGCACGAUGGCGUCCUCGGCCAUGUUCAUGUCAAGCGCCUUCAUCCCGGGCACCGUGUCGAUCAUCCCGAUGUCCUGGAGCCUCUUGACUCCCGUGGCGCCGAAGGGCCCGUCGUGGCCGCAGGAGCUCACCACCACCUUGGCCUCCAUGACGUUGGGGUCCAUGCAGGACUGUGUGUCGUGGUUCAUCGACACGAGCGCCCAGUUGGUGACGACGCCGGCGACGCGGUCCUCCUUCACGAUCAGGUCCUCCACGGCCACGGCGUUGAAGAGCUUCACGUUGGGGCGGGCCAGGAGGCGGCUCAUCACCGUGGAGGUGAAGAGCGCGGCGUGCUUGAUGACGACGUAGUCCUCCUGCUCGUCGUACUCGAUGUUGAGCUCGUCGAGGAACAGGUGCGCCGGCUUGCGCACGACCAUGGCGGAGAAGAGCUGGCCCCCGAGCCAGGCGCCGCCCCCCGGGGACACGGACUGCUCGAUGAUGGCGAUGCUGAUGGACGGGUCUUUGGAGAGCUCGUAGGCGCAGGACAGCCCCGCGGAGCCGGCCCCCACGAUGACGACGUCCGUGUCGGCGUAGGUGAUCAUGUCGGUCAUGUACCGGCGGGUCAUCUCGCGGGAGACGAUGGAUUCCUUGAUGGGGCUGAACUUGAAGGCGUUGAGGUCGUAGGGAGGGGUGGAGGCGGAGAUGGAGUUGCAGAUGGCGCCGGCGCGCGGGGUGGCGACGCUGGACGGGGUGCGCGCGGCGGCCGCCGGGAGGCGAGCGCCGGCGAAGGAGGUCUUGAGGAGGCUGGAGGCGGAGGUGGCCAUGGCUGCCAUGGUGAGGUGGAUCUGGUUCCGUGCGAAGUUUCUUGGGUUUCUGGAGAUGGGUGGAUGGGGAUAAGGGGCGGUGGCAGGGUAUAAGAAGAGGAGAGGAGCAGGCAAAUAUCCGGUGGUUGUGUGUACGUGCGAUCAGAUCCGAAGGUGUCGGCCUUUGGACUCAUCGGGGAUAUUUUGUGUGGUCUCUUGGCAUGAGUUACUGUGCUUAUUAAUGACCAUCAGCUCAUACAGUAGUGUUAUGUUAUGAAACACCA
rnacentral:lncRNA from 1 species